AUGUUGAAAUAUUUUCAUGAAAAAAUUAUUGACAAUCCAUCAUUCCAAUAUGCAGUACAGUUGGAUUGUGAGGAGGAUAUAACCAACAUAUUCCGGGCUGAUGCUAAAAUGAUCCUUGACUAUGCACAUUUUGGUGAUGCUGUCACUUUUGACACUACUUUUGGCACAAAUAAAGAGUAUAGGCCAUUUGGUGUUUUUCUUGGGCUCAAUCAGUUCAGAGAAACCACUAUUUUUGGUGCUGCCUUGCUGUUUGAUGAAACGAAGGACUCAUUUAUAUGGCUAUUUGAGACUUUUCUAGCUGCACAUAAUGGACGACAACCUAGAACUAUUUAUACGGAUCAAGAUGUAGCAAUGGGAAAAGCUAUAGAGAAAGUAUUCACGGAUUCAUAUCACGGGCUGUCCACCUUUCAC
rnacentral:rRNA from 1 species